AAAGUGCUUCCUUUUUGAGGG
rnacentral:miRNA from 3 species